rnacentral:rRNA from 1 species
GAAGCGUCUGGAAAGGCGCGCGAUACAGGGUGACAGCCCCGUACACAAAAGCGCAUGUGCUGUGAGCUCGAUGAGUAGGGCGGGACACGUGGUAUCCUGUCUGAAUAUGGGGGGACCAUCCUCCAAGGCUAAAUACUCCUGACUGACCGAUAGUGAACCAGUACCGUGAGGGAAAGGCGAAAAGAACCCCGGCGAGGGGAGUGAAAAAGAACCUGAAACCGUGUACGUACAAGCAGUGGGAGCACAGGUUUACCUGUGUGACUGCGUACCUUUUGUAUAAUGGGUCAGCGACUUAUAUUCUGUAGCAAGGUUAACCGAAUAGGGGAGCCGGAGGGAAACCGAGUCUUAAUUGGGCGUUAAGUUGCAGGGUAUAGACCCGAAACCCGGUGAUCUAGCCAUGGGCAGGUUGAAGGUUGGGUAACACUAACUGGAGGACCGAACCGACUAAUGUUGAAAAAUUAGCGGAUGACCUGUGGCUGGGGGUGAAAGGCCAAUCAAACCGGGAGAUAGCUGGUUCUCCCCGAAAGCUAUUUAGGUAGCGCCUCGUGAAUUCAUCUCCGGGGGUAGAGCACUGUUUCGGCUAGGGGGCCAUCCCGGCUUACCAACCCGAUGCAAACUGCGAAUACCGGAGAAUGUUAUCACGGGAGACACACGGCGGGUGCUAACGUCCGUCGUGAAGAGGGAAACAACCCAGACCGCCAGCUAAGGUCCCAAAGUCAUGGUUAAGUGGGAAACGAUGUGGGAAGGCCCAGACAGCCAGGAUGUUGGCUUAGAAGCAGCCAUCAUUUAAAGAAAGCGUAAUAGCUCACUGGUCGAGUCGGCCUGCGCGGAAGAUGUAACGGGGCUAAACCAUGCACCGAAGCUGCGGCAGCGACGCUUAUGCGUUGUUGGGUAGGGGAGCGUUCUGUAAGCCUGUGAAGGUGGCCUGUGAGGGUUGCUGGAGGUAUCAGAAGUGCGAAUGCUGACAUAAGUAACGAUAAAGCGGGUGAAAAGCCCGCUCGCCGGAAGACCAAGGGUUCCUGU